UAGAGUUUGAUCUGGCUCAGGAUGAACGCUGGCGGUAUGCUUAACACAUGCAAGUCGAACGGUCUCUUCGGAGAUAGUGGCGGACGGGUGAGUAACGCGUAAGAAUCUACCUUCAGGUUGGGGACAACCACUGGAAACGGUGGCUAAUACCGAAUGUGCCGAGAGGUGAAAGGCUUGCUGCCUGAAGAAGAGCUUGCGUCUGAUUAGCUAGUUGGUGGGGUAAAGGCCUACCAAGGCGACGAUCAGUAGCUGGUCUGAGAGGAUGAUCAGCCACACUGGGACUGAGACACGGCCCAGACUCCUACGGGAGGCAGCAGUAGGGAAUUUUGCACAAUGGGCGCAAGCCUGAUGCAGCAACGCCGCGUGAGUGAAGAAGGCUCUUGGGUUGUAAAGCUCUUUCGGCUGGAAAGAAGGGGCUGCCUGCGAAUAGUUGGCAGCUCUGACGGUACCAGAAGAAGAAGCCCUGCUAACUUCGUGCCAGCAGCAGCGGUAAUACGAAGGGUGCAAGCG
rnacentral:rRNA from 1 species